CCUACGGGAGGCAGCAGUGGGGAAUAUUGGACAAUGGGGGCAACCCUGAUCCAGCCAUGCCGCGUGUGUGAAGAAGGCCCUCGGGUGGUAAAGCACUUUCAGUGAGGAAGAACGCCUGGUGGUUAAUACCCAUCAGGAAAGACAUCACUCACAGAAGAAGCACCGGCUAACUCCGUGCCAGCAGCCGCGGUAAUACGGAGGGUGCGAGCGUUAAUCGGAAUUACUGGGCGUAAAGCGCGCGUAGGUGGCUUGAUAAGCCGGUUGUGAAAGCCCCGGGCUCAACCUGGGAACGGCAUCCGGAACUGUCAAGCUAGAGUGCAGGAGAGGAAGGUAGAAUUCCCGGUGUAGCGGUGAAAUGCGUAGAGAUCGGGAGGAAUACCAGUGGCGAAGGCGGCCUUCUGGACUGACACUGACACUGCGGUGCGAAAGCGUGGGUAGCAAACAGGAUUAGAUACCCCAGUAGUC
rnacentral:rRNA from 1 species